rnacentral:lncRNA from 1 species
CCCUCAUCAUCUUCUAUAAAACCUUCCCCUCUUGAGUUCAUAAAGACAUCAAACUGCACUAUAAAAUGGAAAGAAAUUGCAUGAGUGUAUCUCCUCCCAUUUGAACUUUGGAAACACUCUGCCGUAGUAAAGCGUUCCCAACAUGUGUAGUCAUUCUUUCUGUUCUACCCCACGAUCGCCUCUCAAACUGUGCUCUUCAGGAGCGAUGCUGCUGUUGUGGAUAGCAUUAUCUCUCACCUGGCCUGGCACAAUUGGCUUUACGAUCCAUAGCAUGAAGGAAGGUCUGUGUCUAGAGGACUCGUAUGAAGGAGCUGCUGAGUUAAAGACAUGCAGUCUGGACUCAGUCCUGCAGCAGUGGAAGUGGACAGAUCACUGGUUCCUAGUAAACACAGGAACCCUGAGGUGUCUCUCUGCCGUCCACACUGACCCAGUCCAGACUAUCGCUUGUGAUUCGAGUGAACAUAUCAAAUGGCAGUGCAAAGCUCAACAGCUCAUCAGCCUGCAAAACUCUCUGGCAUUGAGCACAGAGAAAGGAAAACUCAGACUGAACACGGGUGAACACGACACAUGGAAAUCUCUGGAUGCGGGCGACAUCUGCCAGAAUAAACUGAGGUCCAGAAGAGAAAGCGAUUUAGAGACCGACGAGUUUGACUUUGCUGAAGGGCCGCCUGCACCGAGAAUGACAGAGGCACAGAAGAAGUUUUUACAGUGGUAUUACCGCACAGAGGACCCAACAACGUGGAUGUUUGGCAUGCUGGCAUUUGCUUUUCUGGGUCUUCUGAUUGGCGCAAUGCUGAUGGUCAUGGGCAUGAUGGCUAAUAGGUUAGUAGCACACGAGUAACACAUUGGGUUAAUAACAUUAUGACUAUAGUUAACAAAGAGCAGUUUUAUAGUAAACAAAUACACAAGUAAAGACAUAUAUACUCAAAUACAUUUUAAAGCAUCACAUAUCUAUCAUAUUUAUCGCCUUUCCUAUGUAGUAAGUAAGCUUGCUCAGUAACUCACCUGGUACUUUCGAUGCAAAGCACUCUGGUGUGAUUCCAGUGGAACACUGCUCGAAAAAAGUGCUCAAAGCCAUGUAAAAACAAGGUAAAAUUGCAUGGUCAUCAGCCAUUUGAUUUCCGAACUGCCGCAAUAUGUGCAUUUACCAAAGUCACGAUUAUCUGAUUCUGAGAAAAUUGAACACACCACUAUACAUUUCACUUUGAAACUAAUGCAAGACAUGCAAAAAGAUAUGUGAUAUUAUUUUUGCAAAAAAUGUUGCCACAGGCAUAUCAUUUUCAUGAGCCUGGGUUGUUUUUCUUCAGAUCAGUGUGCUGGUCUCUCUGGGUUAUUUAUAGCACUAAAACACAAUUUUGAAAGAAUAAAGAGAAAAAAAUAAAAAAUAGGUUUUCAGGCUAAUAGUUCUAAUUAUUUUUAUAAGUGUGAUCCAUAAGAGAAAAUCUCAAGUUUCUGCUAGAGAUGUUUUAGAAGAGAUCUCAAGAGCUUCUCAGAUUUUGAAACCUUACAAUGUCUUUCGCAAGUAAAUUUGCCAUGAUACCAAAGUCUGCUAUAAAACGUCAGAGAUCUUAAAACCCCCUUAACUGUCACCGUCCCACCUGUGGGACGCUUGGCGCUCUUUUUUCUGUCAUCCUUUUUCUCUAGAAAAUGUUUUAGUAACCAUCAUAAAUGAUAUAUCGUUUGAAAGCUAAGAAGCCCAAGAUUCAUCCUGAGAAAACCAUUUUGAAAUCAAAUAUUGCGUUACCAUGGAAAUCAUACUUUAAAAUGUUUUGGUGGUCUCCUCCCCCUUAGCGGGCGGUGUCAAUGUCAUAUUACAAAAUGUCUUUUACAAUCAAAACUUUUUAUAAUCUUGACAAAAAACAUAUCAUUGGAAAAAUCUGAGUCUCAGGAUUCCAUAUUGCAUAUUGUGAUAGAAGCAAUAUUGGCAGAGAAAUUUCAACAUAUGUUACAGAAAAAUGCAUUUAAGCUGUUUGUGGUAUAAUGCCCUAAAUCAAAUCUUACAGAAACCUCAAUUUUUUUCAGAUCAACUUCAAAUUUGGAACAUAACUUAUUUAGACAGAAG